AUUUUUUUGUUCUGCAUGUCACGAAAUUGGACACGAGGUCUCAAGCUAUCGUCUUUUUUGCCAAAGUCUGAUAAUUUUACAGCUUCUGCUCCAAAAUAAGUUCUGUCCUUUAAACCAAUCAAACAGAUGAUGGAGGCUCUUGAUCUAUAACGUAAGGAAAUAAGACUUGGAAACGAGGAUGUCUCUCUAAGAAUGAACGUGAUCAAUGAAACCUUACAGCAGUAAAUCCCUAUUUAAAGCAUCUUACAAGGGCUGCAUCCAAUCGUCUUAGAAGAAGAUGCUUUUUUGGAAUUGUCGCGGAAUUGGUAAUUCUCAAACCCAAUUGGUUUUAUGCGGCUAUUGUAAAGAAAAUUAGCCAAGCUUUGUUUGUUUGGCUAAACCUUUGGUUGAAUGGCAAAUUGUUUCUUCUUUUCGACUUUCAUUGGAUAUGAGGUUAUUGGGUUUUAAUUCACUAGUAGGUGUUUUGCUUAAUAUUUGGGGGCUAGUUUCUGAUUUGGUUUCAGAUUUCUCUUUGAUUCGUGUGGAUGGGAAGCAGUUGAUAGAUAUUUAUAUGCAUUUGCAAUGUAAACAUUGUGUUACCUUUUUUUAUGCUAGUAUUUUUCAUACACGUAGACACCUUCUCUAGUUCUUAAUUAGUUUUUUUUACUGUUGUUGAUCCUUGGACCAUUAUUGGUGAUUUUAAUUCAAUUUUGGGUGCUCAUCAGAAGACGGUGUGAGCCCCGCUUUGUAUUUCUUGUGAGAAGUUUCAUAUGGCUAUUAAGGAGGCCAAUAUUCUGCCUAUUGAUACAAAAGGAUCUUUUUUCACUUGGGAUCGGAGAGGAACUCAAAGUUAUGUGGAGUAUAAGAUGGAUCACUCUUUUUGUUUGUAGUCGUGUCUUCAAUUUUGGGACUUGAUGCAUUUUUUGGCUUUGUCUAGGCAUUGUUCAGAUCAUAUCCCUCUUUUUUUAAGCUAUGCUACAAAUUCUAUUUCGGGACCAAGGCCUUUUCGAUUCCUUGCUAUGUGGACAUCGAAUUCUUCUCUUUUGAAAGUUGUCCCUCUUUGGCAGUCCUGUGCAUUGUGUGAUGUUGAAGCUUAAGGCAAUCAAAUAUGCUAUUAAGAGUUGGAAUUGGGUUACAUUUGGUGAUUUGAAUUCUAAGAUAGUUGAAGCUCAUCACAAACUAUUCAAGAUGAGAUUGCUUUAAAUGGUUUUUCAGAGGAUCUUUUUUAGGUUUAGUUGGUUGCUCAUGAUCAAUUGGACUUGGAGUUAAAGCUUCAAGAAUUGUUUCUUAGAGACAAUGCUGUUUUAAAUGGUUAAAAGAGGGUGAUAGAAACACUUUUUCUUCACUCUAUGUUGCAAGUUUAUAAAGCUUCUAAGCCAUUAUCUUCUUUAAUGGUUGAUGGGGCUUUGUCUUUGGAUUUACAUGUGAUUCAAGAUCAUGUGGUUAACUAUUUUUCAAAUAUAUUUAAUUC